rnacentral:rRNA from 1 species
UACGUAGGGUGCGAGCGUUAAUCGGAAUUACUGGGCGUAAAGCGUGCGUAGGCGGCGCGUUAAGACAGGUGUGAAAGCCCCGAGCUUAACUUGGGAAUUGCGCUUGUGACUGGCGUGCUGGAGUGUGGCAGAGGGAGGUGGAAUUCCACGUGUAGCAGUGAAAUGCGUAGAGAUGUGGAGGAACACCGAUGGCGAAGGCAGCCCCCUGGGCUGAGAUUGACGCUGAGUGCACGAAAGCGUGGGGAGCAAACAGG